rnacentral:tRNA from 2 species
AUCGCCUCGUGCAGGUGGGGGCCUGGCUGGCGCUGGGAGCGCCCGGCGUGGCGUCGGCCGCGGGGCCGGUCUUCGAGUUGCCGGAGCUGAUG